UUCCCAGGCUCUGGUGAUAAGAGCCUCCUGGUACAGGGAGGGCUCCCUUCCUGUAGGAAAUUUUAUGGCCUGUUUUUAGGUAGAAAAGGGGAGGUCAGGAGCCCUUCCUGCAUCUGCUGUUUCUCAAGUGCCUUCAGCUCAAAAUAUUCAAUAUA